ACUGUUAUUCGAGAAUAACUGUUAGGCACAUCCCUGGAUCGGACGGCGCAGCACUUCGAAGUGAAUCCUAGGGAUGUCGAUUUUUUCGAUUCGAUUCUGACAAAUCGAUUUUUUCUCUGAAAAAAUCGAUUUUUUUGAAUCGAUUUUGUGAGAGGCGAUUUAUCGAGUGAAUCGAUUUUCUAUUUAAAAAAAUCGUAAAAAUCGUUCAGACUUUUUCGCUCUGUCUAAAUUACUCUUUUAACGUCACGUCAAACCUACUUACGUUCAAACGCGGGUCCAGAAGGAAGGUAUUUAGCGUUUGGUAAACUUUCUAAUACAUUCUUUUAGGUUUAAUUGCAAUUGCUGAUCAGAUCUUCAAGCACCGUAACAACCAUAACCUCUUUGAAAUUUGAAUGAAUACUGACUAAGGCCAAAGCACCGUUACAGGGCAAAAUGCAAAAAUAAAAAAAAUAAACAAAACUUCUUAACCGUCAAAACGGUCAAAUCAAACGUCAAACAUUCCUUGAACUAGUUGUGGGGAGUGCUGAAAAAGUGCUGAAAUUUCUUUGUCUCAGUGCUGAAUGCUGAUUUUUGAAAAUUCCAUCCGGGAACCCUAACUUACAAGGGUUAUGGAGAAUAUUGCACAAGAACAGCCUGCAGAAAGAGCCAUGCGGAGAGCACAGGAUGUGGCCAGGCGUAGAAGACAACUGCUCCGGCCACCAGGGCUAGAAUUUUUAAAUUUAUUCAAUGGAAAUCCUGCCCUUGGAGUUGUCCGCAACUUUAAUCCUGGCCAUCCAAUCAACCGGCGUUCGGGCUGAUUUUAAUUUUUUUAAAAUAAAAAAUUUCUUCCAAAAAUCAAUGAGCAUUUCUAACAAACAAGAUCCUGUAUUACGGGGCAUUCCGCAUCACUAGGGUUCUUAGACUUUUUUUCUCUUUGCUUAAAAAAUGUUCUUGCUGGCAUUUCUCUUUUGUGAAAACUUUUCUCUACUGCCGAUGAAAGUGUGCCAAUGCACAAGAUUCAGAUAAAGGUAACACAAAAUAAAUCUGCUCUCCAAAAAGUGCUAUAGCAAAAAAAGGCACUCAUAAAAGUGGGAAUUGAUGCUCACAGAAAAAAGCUAAAAUUCGAAACCGCAUCAAAAAUUGUGACUAUUUUAAAUGAAAAAUGGAUCUCUGUCACUCUGUCCUGGGUUUGAGCUUAUUUCAGGGAAGUAUUCCAUGUCCAAGCAUUAGAUCAGUAUUAGAACUGCUGCUCUGAAAAGGGAAAUGCUGGCCUAUUGGGUCGACUAUAGACCAUACAAACUCUCUUAGGGAGUAAAAUUUUAUUGUUUUUACACGCUUUAAUUGAUGAAUAAUUAAGAUUGAAAAUGAUGAUAUCUAAUGGACUAAUAGGCCCUUAACACUGGACAGAUAUGACGUAAAAUAUAAAAAUAGGAAUGAGAAAUAUAAAGAAUCGAAUGAAACUGAAAAUGAAAAUGUAAUAAAAAAUAAAAACGCUUACAUUUAAACUUAUAAAAUACACAGUGAAAACUAACUCUAAUAAGUAGGUAAUCACAGUUUCGCAUUCCAUAGGUAACGCUUUUUCACUUAAGCUUAGGAGCAAACUAGAAAAAUGUAUGAUGAGGAACAACUUAGAAAGAGAACAGAUUUUCUGUAACAAAGACUGAAAAUUAUCAGAACAAAAUAAAAAAAAAUGUUGAAAGAAGUACGGAAUGCAGGCACAUGGAGCCGAAAUACUAUAGAACGAGUGCAAAUCUCAACUGAACCUUGAGUAUAUUAUUAAAUUUGUUUGCGAUAAAAAAUAACUCGAGAAAUACCAUUUUACUGGUCCUACUAAUACUUUAAUAAACAUUAUCUCAAUUUGUGGAGAACAAAAAAAAAAUCUAAGUUCUAAGAAGACUUAGAAAAACUGUAAAUGUUUGAUGAAUUUUCCAGUUGUUGGAGAAACAGCUAUGCAGAUAGGAAAGUGAAAAGAAACUCUAAUGAGUAGUUGAAGUACUGUACUCAAUAUUGCUUUUGCGUCUUAAACUAAGAGCAAACUAGACAAAAUUACGGUGAGGAACAACUUUAAAAGAGAUCUGAUUUUCAGUACCAAUGACUGAAAAUUUUCAUUACAAAAUAAAAAAUACCGAAAAUAGUAGGUACGAAUGCCAACUUCGAAAGUCCACUUGAGCCGAAAUACUGCUUUCAGUGAGUGCAAAUCUCAACAGAACCCUAAGAACAUUCUUAAAUUUGUCUGAGCUUUGUUGUGCUUGAUAGCAUUUUACAGGUCCAAUUGAAAUUUCAAUGAACUUUGUGUCAGUGUGUGGAAAGGAAAAAAAAGAAGCCUUAUCAAGAGUGGCGGUAGCCACCCCCGGUCGAGGAAAAUGACGUCCUACUAAAGUCCCGAUAGCAAAGGGUGGCCGACACUCUUAGUCACAGGCAACUCCCUUAAUCUGAAAAUUGAUUCGGUUCCCAUUCGACUGCAGCCCAAACGACAGCACGGAUUCCUACGAUCUUGGUGUCUACGGACGCAUCUCAAUUAGGACUACAAAGUGGAAGAGUUUCAUUAAGAUCCAUUGAGUUUUCAAAAAGUUAUAAGCACUUAAUGACCCAAAACGACGAAAAUUUUACUUUACAUGGGGCCGUUUGGCGGGAAAAUUUGAAAUUUCAGGGUCCUGAGAAAGUUACUCUGAUUCCGCAAUAACGGUAAACCCUAGACCCGUAAAAGGGGUACCUACC
rnacentral:lncRNA from 1 species